GACGAACGCUGGCGGCGUGCCUAAUACAUGCAAGUCGAGCGGAACCAUUGGAGCUUGCUCCAUUGGUUUAGCGGCGGACGGGUGAGUAACACGUGGGCAACCUGCCCUGCAGAUCGGGAUAACUCCGGGAAACCGGUGCUAAUACCGAAUAGUUUGCGGCCUCUCCUGAGGCUGCACGGAAAGACGGUUUCGGCUGUCACUGCAGGAUGGGCCCGCGGCGCAUUAGCUAGUUGGUGGGGUAAUGGCCCACCAAGGCGACGAUGCGUAGCCGACCUGAGAGGGUGAUCGGCCACACUGGGACUGAGACACGGCCCAGACUCCUACGGGAGGCAGCAGUAGGGAAUCUUCCGCAAUGGACGCAAGUCUGACGGAGCAACGCCGCGUGAGUGACGAAGGUUUUCGGAUCGUAAAACUCUGUUGUGAGGGAAGAACAUGUACCAAGUAACUACUGGUACCUGACGG
rnacentral:rRNA from 1 species